CUGCAUCCCUAGGAAAUCCCGAUCCAACAUCGAGGUCGCAAACUUUUUUAUCAAUAUGAACUCUCCAAAAAAAUUACGCUGUUAUCCCUACGGUAACUUAUUCUUUUGCUCACCUUUCCUAGUGGAUCACUUUAUAAAUAAACCUUAUAUUAUAAAAAAAUUUUUUUUCUAAUAAAUUAGCGGAGGAUUUUUAUUCUCCGCGGUUGCCCCAACCUAAGUACUAAAUGCAUACUACCCCUAUUUUACAGUAAAAUCAUACAACCAUUUUUAAUUAUUUAUUAGCAAUAAAAUAGCGUUAAUAAAUUGCACCUUAUUUCUACUAAAGCUCGAUAGGGUCUUCUCGUCCUACGACUAUAUUUCCGCUUCUUCACGGAAAUAUUAACUUCAGGAUUAUAAGAAAGAGACAGCUUAACUCCCGUCUUGCCAUUCAUACCAGCCCCCAUUUAAAAGGCAAAUGAUUAUGCUACCUUUGCACGGUCAAGAUACCGCGGCCGUUUAACUAAGUCACCGGGCAGGCAGGACUCUUUAUGUAUUAGACUCUUUACAAAGAGCGAUGUUUUUGGUAAACAGGCGAAGUUAUGAUUUGCCGAAUUCCUUUUCCUUAUUUUAUUCUUUAAUAUAUUACUUGUGUUAGUAGACAACCUGAAUAAACUAAUUUCUCGACUAUAGACUAUUACUCCAUCCAAAGUUAGGAUUGAUUAAUUCGGGGUUAUUCUUAAUAAAUUCUUCUGUAUCGCUUUUCUAAAAUUAGCUUUAACGCUUUCUAUAAAGUUAGAUGCUAUUAAUCCUACUUUUUAUCAACAUACAACACAUUCUCAAAAUACCCUUUAUUGGUAAUUAAAGCUUUUUCUUUUUUGACAGAAAAGCUUAUCCCUUCCUGUCUUACUAACAUAUUAUUAUUUAAACCAGCAUAUUUAUUCUAUAAAAUAAACAAUGUGAAAAUAAAAACACACAACUAAGCUCAUACUUAUUUCUAGGAAAACCAGCUAUCCCUGAGUGCGAUAAGCAUUUCACACCUA
rnacentral:rRNA from 1 species